GGGAUGUGGACUGGAAGGGAAGAGAAAAUGGCUAGAAGGCUGCUACUGAAAUCCUGACGAGGGCGAGGACCCGGAGUCCUGGAUUACGGGAGUGGCAGUAGAGUCUGAGAAAUUGGCAGAUUUGAGAGCUACUGGGAGCAGGAUUGGGGACUUAGUUGUUUAGAGAGGAGAAGGUGGGGAAGAGCUAGAGAGAACAGCCAGGCUUCUGGCAUGGCACCUGAGUCCUGGUAAUAAAAAGUACCACCACAGAUGCUGCCUAAAGAAGAAGGAUUGGGCAAGUCUUAAUGAGUAUGAACCAACGAAAUUGAGGAGAGAUUUGCUUAGAGCUUCUGGGAAACAGAAGUCAAUGUCUGUGUUUCUCCCUCCUUCUCCUGCUACCCCUAUCACUUGGGGAAGAGUGAAGCAUGUUGCUCUGUUACAACUGGCAGCUGUCUUAGAACCAUGAAGGGAAACAGCCUUGCAAGGAAGUUCUCGGCCAAACAGUGAGAUCUCAGCAGAGGAGUGAGAUAGAAAGAAUCCUGAGUGCCUGAAGAUGGGCUCGCACUGAUUCAUCAAUCUUGAAGCUCACAUCAUUGUCUCUGAAUGACUACUUAAAAUGUGAAAUAAUACAUUUCCUUGAUAUUUAAGCAAA
rnacentral:lncRNA from 10 species